CACGCCCGUCACAUCACGAAAGUGGGCUGUACUAGAAGCCGGUGAGCUAACCGCAAGGAAGCAGCCGUCCAAGGUAUAACUCAUGAUUGGGGUG
rnacentral:rRNA from 1 species